UGGGGAAUCUUGCGCAAUGGGCGAAAGCCUGACGCAGCAACGCCGCGUGGGGGAUGAAGGCCUUCGGGUUGUAAACCCCUUUCAGUCAGGGCAGCGAACAUGACGGUACCUGCAGAAGAAGCCCCGGCCAACUACGUGCCAGCAGCCGCGGUAACACGUAGGGGGCGAGCGUUGUCCGGAUUUAUUGGGCGUAAAGAGCUCGUAGGCGGUUCGGUAAGUCGGGUGUGAAACCUCCAGGCUCAACCUGGAGACGCCACCUGAUACUGCCGUGACUAGAGUCCGGUAGGGGAGCGUGGAAUUCCUGGUGUAGCGGUGAAAUGCGCAGAUAUCAGGAGGAACACCAGCGGCGAAGGCGGCGCUCUGGGCCGGAACUGACGCUGAGGAGCGAGAGCGUGGGUAGCAAAACA
rnacentral:rRNA from 1 species